GGGUAUAGCUCAGUGGUAGAGCAUGUGCUUAACAUGCACAAGCUCCUGGGUUCAAUCCCCAGUACCUCCA
rnacentral:tRNA from 1 species